rnacentral:rRNA from 1 species
UACGUAGGGUGCGAGCGUUAAUCGGAAUUACUGGGCGUAAAGCGUGCGCAGGCGGUUUGCUAAGACCGAUGUGAAAUCCCCGGGCUUAACCUGGGAACUGCAUUGGUGACUGGCAGGCUAGAGUAUGGCAGAGGGGGGGUAGAAUUCCACGUGUAGCAGUGAAAUGCGUAGAGAUGUGGAGGAACACCGAUGGCGAAGGCAGCCCCCCUGGGCUAACACUGACGCUCAGGCACGAAAGCGUGGGGAGCAAACAGG